rnacentral:rRNA from 1 species
CGAACGGGUGAGUAACACGUGGGCAACCUGCCCAAAANAGGGGGAUAACACUUGGAAACAGGUGCUAAUACCGCAUAACCAUAGUUACCGCAUGGUAACUAUGUAAAAGGUGGCUAUGCUACCGCUUUUGGAUGGGCCCGCGACGCAUUAGCUAGUUGGUGGGGUAAAGGCUUACCAAGGCAAUGAUGCGUAGCCGAACUGAGAGGUUGAUCGGCCACAUUGGGACUGAGACACGGCCCAAACUCCUACGGGAGGCAGCAG